rnacentral:rRNA from 1 species
GACGAACGCUGGCGGCGUGCUUAACACAUGCAAGUCGAGCGGUAAGGCCCUUUCGGGGGUACGACGAGCGGCGAACGGGUGAGUAACACGUGGGUGACCUGCCCUCAGCUCUGGGAUAAGCCUGGGAAACCGGGUCUAAUACCGGAUAUGACUCCAUGACGCAUGUUGGUGGGGUGGAAAGCCUUGUGCGGCUGAGGAUGGGCCCGCGGCCUAUCAGCUUGUUGGUGGGGUGANGGCCUACCAAGGCGACGACGGGUAGCCGGCCUGAGAGGGCGACCGGCCACACUGGGACUGAGACACGGCCCAGACUCCUACGGGAGGCAGCAGUGGGGAAUCUUGCGCAAUGGGCGAAAGCCUGACGCAGCGACGCCGCGUGAGGGAUGACGGCCU